rnacentral:lncRNA from 1 species
GGACAUAAGGCAAAGAUUAGAUUUAACUUGGGCUUACAACAUGUAAAUAGGCAAUAGACCCAAAAAUGACUUGCAAGCCUACAUAGCAGUUAAAGGAGUCCCAUGUUAAAAAUGUGGACUAUUAAUAUUCAUCAUCUCUUAUUUACCCAAUUUUAAUUAGGCUAACAAAAUAGCACUCCCAUUAUCAAUUUAGUGAUUCCAUAUAUUUUUAAUAAUUCUUGACAGAACAUCA